GACGAACGCUGGCGGCGUGCUUAACACAUGCAAGUCGAACGGGGAAAGCGGAGCUUGCUCCGCUGGAUCAGUGGCGAACGGGUGAGUAACACGUGGGCAACCUGCCCCUGACUUCGGGAUAACUCCUCGAAAGAGGUGCUAAUACCGGAUACGAAUCCUGCAGGCAUCUGCGGGAUUGGAAAGUUUUUAGGUCAGGGAUGGGCCCGCGGACUAUCAGCGUGUUGGUGAGGUAGUGGCUCACCAAGGCGACGACGGGUAGCCGGCCUGAGAGAGCGAGCGUCAGCGCUGGGACUGAGACACGGCCCAGACACCUACGGGAGGCAGCAGUGGGGAAGAAUGCGCAAUGGGCGAAAGCCUGACGCCUCAGCGCCGCGUGAGGGAUGACGGCCUUCGGGUUGUAAACCUCUUUCAGCGGGGAAGGACCGAAAGUGACGGUACCUGCAGAAGAAGCACCGGCUAACUACGUGCCAGCAGCCGCCGUAA
rnacentral:rRNA from 1 species